UUGCAGUUAAAAAGCUCGUAGUCGAAUGUAGAGUCUCAAACGCUGAGAUGUCUUUUUUUAUUAGGAGACAAAUUUUUUGGCGUUUUAGAUUCUUUUUUACCGUUUACUAUUUGUUUUUUGUUAAACGAAUUUGGUAUGACGGUAAUUUUUACUGUGAAUAAAUUAGAGUGUUCAUGGCAGGCCAAGGGCUUAAAUAUCUCAGCAUGGAAUAAUAGAAUAGGACUUCUGGUUCUAUUUUGUUGGUUUUUAGAGCCGAAGUAAUGAUUAAUAGGAAUAGUUGGGGGCACUCGUACUCCGUUGUCAGAGGUGAAAUUCUUGGGUUUACGAAAGAUAAACUUCUGCG
rnacentral:rRNA from 1 species